rnacentral:lncRNA from 1 species
AAUAAAAUAAGCUGAACGGUGGAGUGGGCCUAUAGUCUCAGCUACUUGGGAGGAUCAAGGCUACAGUUAGCUGUGAUCAUGCCACUGCACUCCAGCGUGGGCGACAGAGUGAGACCCUCUCUCUAAAAAGAAAAAAGAAAAAAAAUUAUGAUGUUUUAUUCUUUUCUCUCCCUAGGUGUGAUAGCAGUGGUGAUAUUUAUUUUGCUUUGCAUCACUGCCAUAGCCAUACGCAUCUAUCAACAGAGAAAGUUACGCAAAGAAAAUGAGUCAAAAGUCUCAAAAAAAGAAGAGUGCUAGGACAGCUCUAAACAGUGAGCUCAAUGUGCAAAACGCAGUCCAUGAAAACCAGAAAGAGCGAGUCUUCUGAUUGGCAGCUGUGGCUGUCUCUAUCACCGUGACUGUGGACUUGCCUGCUGUUGCCAUCAGGGUGCACACAGCAGGUGCAGUGCUGUCACCUGGCUGAAGACCUGCAGCCUCGGAGCCUCUGGGAGGUCCCUUUCUCCCUCGGUGAAACACAGUCCUCCACAUCAAUUUCCAAACAAUGAAUUAGAAUACUACAUCUGUAUUGAGAGUACA